rfam:Astyanax mexicanus Tnplaced_Scaffold4070, whole genome shotgun sequence.
GCCCGGAUGGCUCAGUCGGUAGAGCAUGAGACUUUUUAAUCUGAGGGUCCAGGGUUCAAGUCCCUGUUCGGGCG